rnacentral:misc_RNA from 1 species
UCUCUUGCAGCCGCCCAAGAGAACAGCGGCCGCCCGCCCAACCAGUGCUCGAGUUCGCGUCUACGAACUUCGCUUAUCCAACUAUUAGACUCACACGAAAAAAACAGGAUAUCAGUAACAAGUAGAAAGGACAAACCUACUUCGUAAUUCACCGUUAAUUAAUUAAAGAGGAAAAUUCACUGAACAUCAAAACAUACACGUGCAUUGCUGUACUGAUCAUUGUGAUGUCGCCGUUGAUGACUACAUGAGAAUGUGAAUUACAGUGUAAAACCAACUGUUAGACGUAGAGUAAAUACCUAUUAUAAAAAAUAACAUGGUCAAUUGUUGGUUGUAAAUAGUAAAUAAUGCAGAAUAAUACGACACGUGCUAUCGAUUACCGGAGUGACCCUAAAUACCAGUGGUUUGCGAGCUUGCGGAGAAAAUGUUUUAGAGAGAAUAUCACCCAUAGCAGCGUUCUCAAUGAACAAUACAAUGAAGGUGAAGAGUGGUGCCCGCGGAUAUUCGAUGGCUUCUCUUGCUGGGACGCGACUCCAGCUGCCACUACAGCGUACCAGCCGUGCCCGAAGUUCAUCAUCGGUUUCGAUCCAAGACGUUAUGCCUACAAGACAUGUACGGCGAAUGGCACUUGGUUCGUGCACCCACACGGGAACAAACCCUGGACCAACUACACAACCUGCGUAGAUGUCGAGGAUUUAGAUUUCCGAAACCUCGUGAACAACAUCUAUGUAGUUGGAUACUCCUUAUCGGUGGCCGCUUUGAUGAUCUCCGUCUUCAUAUUCCUCUACUUUCGGGCACUGCAGUGCACGCGGAUUCGUAUCCACGUCCAUCUCUUCAUGUCCUUUGCGCUGAACAAUAUCUUAUGGAUUGUGUGGUACAGAACCGUUGUCAACAAAGUCAGCGUGGUCCAGGAUAAUACGGAAUGGUGUCAAAUCCUGCACGUUGUAACUAACUACUUCAUGGUCACUAGUUACCUGUGGAUGUUUUGCGAGGGUCUACAUCUACACAUAGCUCUCGUUGUGGUGUUCGUGAAGGACGAGGUGGCGAUGCGAUGGUUCAUAGCUCUCGGCUGGGGUGUCUCGCUGAUCAUCGUCGUGAUUUACGCAAUAACCAGAUACCUAACACCGGGAGCGACGGACAGGUGUUGGAUGGAUCAAAGUGACACCUUCUGGAUCAUCAUAGUGCCAGUGGGACUGUCCUUGCUGGCUUCAUUCGUAUUUCUGGUGAACGUGGUACGGGUGCUACUGACGAAGUUGCACCCAGCACCGAACCAGCACGCCUCUGUAGCGGCGAGGAAGGCUGCGAGAGCCGCUCUCAUAUUGGUCCCUCUAUUCGGACUACAUUUCGUUUUAAUACCAUUUCGACCGCUGCCUGACUCACCAUGGGAAAAAACCUAUCAGAUUGUAUCGGCACUUCUUACGAGUUUACAGGGUCUAUGCUUGGCGAUACUAUUCUGCUUCACCAACCAUGACGUCGUGGUCGCCACAAAAACAUACUUAUCACGAUUUCGCACAAAUAACGAGGGCAUCCCUAUGACUGGUAACACAUACCCAUUAACUGGGUCGGUUUUAAAUCUUAUUUCAUUAGCUCUAAGAUAAUAUUAAAUACUAUUAAGCAAACGGCGCUCGAACUCAGCGUCGUUUGAAAAAAGAGGUGGUAACCAAUUCGACAAUUUUCAUCAAAAUUCACUUUUAAUCCAAUUGCUUAUUCAAUCACCAAUUCGAUUACACUGCAUAACAUGCCUGCCAUCUGUAGCUUGUUUAAUAGCAAUUAACGCUGAGCUCGUUCUUCUAGAUAUGACCCACAUUUGGCAGCUCACUUCAGGAGGAUUUCAUUCGGCUUUACGUCACACUUGAAUUGUUCUGCACAUUUCAAUCGCGUCGAUAUGACACGACGCAAUACAAGUCAGUGGUCAACAGCCUGUACACAAAUAGAUUACUCAUAUUUUAUCUACAACACAUUAUCAAUGAUUGAGUGUUUUAGAAGCAAACAGUUAGCUGCUAAUUGUGAUCUUAUCUAGUAAUGCCUUUAAUUCAUUUGUGUUUGUGAUCGUUUGUAAUAUAAUACACUAUUUUAUAUAAGUAUCUACUAAUGAAAUAACUCCUCAAAUUCAAAGAGAUCACUUUCAGUUGAUAUAUUUACUUUGUACGCACCCAUGUGAACGGAAUUCCUUCAAAACAGCCUCGACAGUAGGUACCGACAUGCCAUUAAAAGCAUUUCAUCUAAGUGCUUACUUCACAGAAUGUGUAACCGGGGGUGAGAGCUUAGUGAAUACCAGAGACCACGUUGUAUGACCUAAACUAUAACCGCGUAGGUCAAUUAUGUAAUUAUAAUAUAAUUUAAUAUUAAUGUAAGUGAUAUGUGAAUAUUAUGUAAAUGACUAUGCUAACCUGAAUAUACUCAGAAUAAUAUAAUCGACAGAAGAUAUCUGUGUCUGUA